CGCGUGAGUGAAGAAGGUUUUCGGAUCGUAAAACUCUUUUAUUGGGGAAGAAGAAGUGACGGUACCCAAUGAAGAAGUCCCGGCUAACUACGUGCCAACACCCGCGGUAAUACCUAGGGGACAAGCGUUGUCCGGAAUCACUGGGCGUAAAGGGCGCGUAUGCGGUUUUAUAAGUCACAUGUGAAAGGUACCGGCUCANCCAGUGACGUGCAUUUGAAACUGUAAGACUUGAGUACUGGAAAGGCAAGUGGAAUUCCUAGUGUAACGGUGAAAUGCGUACAUGUUANGAGGAACACCGGUGGCAAAUGCGGCUUGCUGGACAGAUACUGACGCUCACGUGCGAAAGCGUGGGGAGCGAACAGGAUUAAAUACCCUGGUAGUCCACGCCGUAAACCAUGAUGACUAGGUGUUGGGGAAACUCANUGCCGCAAUUAACACAUUAAGUCAUCCGCCUGGGGAGUACGACCGCA
rnacentral:rRNA from 1 species